CUACUUUUAAAAGAGUAUGAAAAAUAAACUAAUUUUUAUUUUAUUUAUUUAGAUUAACAUUACUACAGGAAACUCACCGCUCACACCUGAGGGAGUAUGAAAAAUACGUACAAGAUGUCAAAAGCUCAAAGAGUACCAUCCAGAACCUAGAGAGUUCAUCAAAUCAAGCUCUAAAUUGUAAAUUCUAUAAAAGCAUGAAAAUUUAUGUGGAAAAUUUAAUUGACUGCCUUAAUGAAAAGAUUAUCAACAUCCAAGAAAUAGAAUCAUCCAUGCAUGCACUCCUUUUAAAACAAGCUAUGACCUUUAUGAAACGCAGGCAAGAUGAAUUAAAACAUGAAUCAACGUAUUUACAACAGUUAUCACGCAAAGAUGAGACAUCCACAAGUGGAAACUUCUCAGUAGAUGAAAAAACUCAGUGGAUUUUAGAAGAGAUUGAAUCUCGAAGGUACCUAUAUAAAGUGAAGAUUUAAAGAAAGCAUCAUUGAGCAAGUACUUUUCACUACUGAAAUAUAAUUAACCACAUGAUGUCAUUAACUAUACCUGAUAUACAUUAUUAAUUUGUAAGAAUAAUAGAAAAGCAAAAUUUAGUAAAACC
rnacentral:lncRNA from 1 species